UGGUGUAUUUGGCUGAUGUACUGAAAAGCAACACUACCCUGGAAGUAAUAGAUCUUUCCUUUAACAGAAUAGAAAAUGCAGGCGCAAACUAUCUCAGUGAAACUCUUACUUCACACAACAGGAGUCUUAAAGCGCAUAUUCAGACUUAAUUCAAAUGGGUUGUUUAAAACCAGACAAUACAGAUGUGGAGCCAUUUGUGGUAGAUGGACGUGUAUAUCUUGCAGAAGUCUCCAAUGGCCUUAAAAAGCAUUAUUAUUGGACAUCAACUUAUGGAGAAUCUUAUGAUCACUCAUCUAAUGCAGGUUUUGCUCUUGUUCCAGUAGGUCAACGGCCAUGAAAAAGUAGCUCUAAAAUAAUUUUCAUACAUUUGUCUUAUUGUUUCACAGAGAUUAAUAUUCUAUAGCCUAUUUUCUUUUAUAAAUUAAAACAAGUUACUUUUUUCAAAUGUGUAAAAGAUAAUGACUGUAUUAAACUUUGUAUAACUGUC
rnacentral:sRNA from 1 species